UAAUAGUAAAGUAAUAUAAUAUUGUUUCAUCAUUGAGUUGUUUUGUGCAUCCAAAAAAUGAGAGAAUGAUCAAAAUAGUCCUUAAUGUAUAGGGUUUGAAUUAUUUUAAUCUUUUAUCUAUAUCAUCUUAUCAAAAUAGUCCUUAAUGUAUACAUAAAAAGUAUCAUUUUAAUCCUAACCCUAAAAAUUAACUGAAAACAUCAAAAAAGGGUUAAGUUUAACGGAGAAGCAAUGGGGAAGAAAGAGGGAGGAAGAAGAGUGUGGGACCCACCAUUAAACUUAACCCCUUUUUUUUAUGUUUUCAGUUAGUUUUUAGGGUUAGGAUCAAAAUGAUACUUUUUAUGUAUACAUUAAGGACUAUUUUGAUAAGAUGGUAUAGAUAAAGGAUCAAAAUAAUUCAAACCCUAUACAUUAAGGACUA